GAUGAACGCUGACAGAAUGCUUAACACAUGCAAGUCAACUUGAACUUCGGUUUGGGUGGCGGACGGGUGAGUAACGCGUAAAGAACUUGCCUCACAGAUAGGGACAACAUUUGGAAACGAAUGCUAAUACCUGAUAUUAUGAUUUUAGGGCAUCCUAGGAUUAUGAAAGCUAUAUGCGCUGUGAGAGAGCUUUGCGUCCCAUUAGCUAGUUGGAGAGGUAACGGCUCACCAAGGCGAUGAUGGGUAGCCGGCCUGAGAGGGUGAUCGGCCACAAGGGGACUGAGACACGGCCCUUACUCCUACGGGAGGCAGCAGUGGGGAAUAUUGAACAAUGGACCAAGAGUCUGAUCCAGCAAUUCUGUGUGCACGAUGAAGUUUUUCGGAAUGUAAAGUGCUUUCAGUUGGGAAGAAAAAAAUGACGGUACCAACAGAAGAAGUGACGGCUAAAUACGUG
rnacentral:rRNA from 1 species